rnacentral:rRNA from 1 species
CAAAUCUUAACAUAUUGAAUGCUCUAGCCUCAAGCAAUCGUCAACUUGAUGAAAUGGCAAAGUUCACGCGCUUGGCUAAUCACCUCUAUAUUUUUCUUCAGGUCCCUUCUGCAGUAUCAUAAACAAAUCCUUUCACUGAGAAAUAGCAGGUGACACACAUAGAUAGCUCUAGUUCUUUCUCUCUUGACUCAAAGUUAGAUAAACUACGGAAACGUUCACAAUUUGCCUUGGGUAUAACAUUGUGUUCUUCAGCUGUCUUCAUUUUCUGUUUGAGAAAAGACGUAUAAAGCUCGAUUUCUCUUGGGAAC